rnacentral:rRNA from 1 species
UACGUAGGGGGCGAGCGUUGUCCGGAUUUAUUGGGCGUAAAGAGCGUGUAGGCGGCCAGGUAGGUCUGCUGUGAAAACUCGAGGCUCAACCUCGAGACGUCGGCGGAAACCAUCUGGCUAGAGUCCGGAAGAGGAGAGUGGAAUUCCUGGUGUAGCGGUGAAAUGCGCAGAUAUCAGGAAGAACACCCGUGGCGAAGGCGGCUCUCUGGGACGGUACUGACGCUGAGGCGCGAAAGCGUGGGUAGCAAACGGG